rnacentral:rRNA from 1 species
UGUGACCUACGGGACGCAGCAGUAGGGAAUCUUCCACAAUGGGCGAAAGCCUGAUGGAGCAACGCCGCGUGCGGGACGAAGGCCCUCGGGUCGUAAACCGCUUUCAGCAGAGAAGACCACGACGGUACCUGCAGAAGAAGCUCCGGCUAACUACGUGCCAGCAGCCGCGGUAAUACGUAGGGGGCGAGCGUUAUCCGGAUUCAUUGGGCGUAAAGCGCGCGUAGGCGGCCGCCUAAGCGGAACCUCUAACCCCGGGGCUCAACCUCGGGCCGGGUUCCGGACUGGGCGGCUCGAGUGCGGUAGAG